rnacentral:lncRNA from 1 species
CCAAACUUCUACUUCAUCGGCUUUUCCCCAAUGCCCGGUACUCAUUGUGGAUUGAUGCUAAACUCGAGCUGGUUGUGGAUCCCAUUCAAAUUCUCGAAGGUCUGUCUGUAUUUGUUAUCACUUUCUAUGAUGAAUUGCUUAACUGGUCGUCUAACCUCAAUCCACACUCUAGCUUAAACUGAAAUUGUUGUCUAAGUGAAGCUUCUUCUGCUACUGUUGCAGAUUUUUGUGGAGGAAAAAUGCAAGCUUUGCGAUAUCAAGGCAUUACAAGCGGUUUGAUGUGUUUGUUGAAGCAGAGGCUAAUAAAGCCGCUGGGAAAUACGAUAAUUCUUCU